rnacentral:lncRNA from 1 species
AUUUCAUCAGUCUCUAAUUCUUCUUUUUCUUUCUAUUUUUUUUAAUCUGUCAUUCAGGCUGUUUUGCGCUGGCAUGAUCUUAGCUCACUGUAACCUCCACCUCCUGGGCUCAAGCAAGCCUCUCACCUGAGCCUCCCAAGUACCUGGGGCUACAGAUGCAUGCCACCUUGCCCAGAGACAAUUCCUGGCACUGGCACUGAUGAAGAAGAUGGCAGCAAACGGAAGACUGGAACCAAAGAGGAGCCUUGAGAAGUCAGAAGUUCUGUUCCAGUGAGUUGAAUCAAGACUCACAGUUUAGAACUGGGAAGAAAGAGCUCUUCUCUUGUUAUGCUCUUGGGAUGCCCAAUGACUGAAUUACUAGUAACAAUUGGCCUGAAUCCUCCU